CCUACGGGUGGCAGCAGUGGGGAAUCUUGCGCAAUGGGGGAAACCCUGACGCAGCAACGCCGUGUGAGUGACGAAGGCCUUCGGGUCGUAAAGCUCUGUCAGAUGGAAAGAAUAAGCCCGUUGAAAAUAUUGACGGGCGAUGACGGUACCAUCAGAGGAAGCACCGGCUAACUCCGUGCCAGCAGCCGCGGUAAUACGGAGGGUGCUAGCGUUGUUCGGAAUUAUUGGGCGUAAAGGGCGUGUAGGCGGAUAGGUAGGUCAGUUGUGAAAUCCCUUGUCUCAACCAAGGAACUGCAUCUGAAACCAUUUAUCUUGAGUACGAUAGGGGAGGGUGGAAUUCCCAGUGUAGAGGUGAAAUUCAUAGAUAUUGGGAGGAACACCGGUGGCGAAGGCGACCCUCUGGAUCGAUACUGACGCUGAGACGCGAAAGCGUGGGGAGCAAACAGGAUUAGAUACCCCUGUAGUC
rnacentral:rRNA from 1 species